CAGCAGUCGCCGCGGUAAUACGAAGGGUGCAAGCGUUAAUCGGAAUUACUGGGCGUAAAGCGUGCGUAGGCGGUGAGUUAAGUCUGCUGUGAAAUCCCCGGGCUCAACCUGGGAAUGGCAGUGGAUACUGGCUCGCUAGAGUGUGUCAGAGGAUGGUGGAAUUCCCGGUGUAGCGGUGAAAUGCGUAGAGAUGUGGAGGAACACCGAUGGCGAAGGCAGCCCCCUGGGCCAAUACUGACGCUCAUGCACGAAAGCGUGGGGAGCAAACAGGAUUAGAUACCCCUGUAGUCCCUGUCUCUUAUAC
rnacentral:rRNA from 1 species